UACGUAGGGUGCGAGCGUUGUCCGGAAUUAUUGGGCGUAAAGAGCUCGUAGGCGGUUUGUCGCGUCGGAUGUGAAAGCCCGGGGCUUAACUCCGGGUCUGCAUUCGAUACGGGCAGGCUAGAGUUCGGUAGGGGAGAUCGGAAUUCCUGGUGUAGCGGUGAAAUGCGCAGAUAUCAGGAAGAACACCCGUGGCGAAGGCGGCUCUCUGGGACGGUACUGACGCUGAGACGCGAAAGCGUGGGGAGCGAACAGG
rnacentral:rRNA from 1 species